rnacentral:rRNA from 1 species
GACAGAGGUGCCGAGCGUUAGGCGGAAUCACUGGGCUUAAAGCGUGUGUAGGCGGACGUCUAAGUACCUUGUGAAAUCCCACGGCUCAACCGUGGAACUGCUCGGUAUACUGGUCGUCUUGAGCCACUUAGGGGCAGUCGGAACAGACGGUGGAGCGGUGAAAUGACGUAGAUAUCGGAAGGAACAUCAGUGGCGAAAGCGACUUCCUGGUCCAGCAUCGACGUUCAGGCACGAAAGCGUGGGGAGCAAACAGG